rnacentral:rRNA from 1 species
GAGUGAACGCUGGCGGUAGGCCUAACACAUGCAAGUCGAACGGCAGCCCAGUAAGAGCUUGCUCUUACGGGUGGCGAGUGGCGGACGGGUGAGGAAUACAUCGGAAUCUACUUUUUCGUGGGGGAUAACGUAGGGAAACUUACGCUAAUACCGCAUACGACCUACGGGUGAAAGCAGGGGAUCUUCGGAACUUGCGCGAUUGAAUGAGCCGAUGUCGGAUUAGCUAGUUGGCGGGGUAAAGGCCCACCAAGGCGACGAUCCGUAGCUGGUCUGAGAGGAUGAUCAGCCACACUGGAACUGAGACACGGUCCAGACUCCUACGGGAGGCAGCAGUGGGGAAUAUUGGACAAUGGGCGCAAGCCUGAUCCAGCCAUACCGCGUGGGUGAAGAAGGCCUUCGGGUUGUAAAGCCCUUUUGUUGGGAAAGAAAAGCAGCAGGUUAAUACCCCGCUGUUCUGACGGUACCCAAAGAAUAAGCACCGGCUAACUUCGUG